rnacentral:rRNA from 1 species
GGAGGUCCGAACCCACGAGCGUUGAAAAGCUCGGGGAUGACUUGUGGGUAGCGGUGAAAUUCCAAUCGAGCCCGGAGAUAGCUGGUUCUCCCCGAAAUAGCUUUAGGGCUAGCCUCAAGGUGAGAGAUACGGAGGUAGAGCACUGAAUGUCCUAGGGGGUAUUGCACCUACCGAAGACUAUCAAACUCCGAAUGCCGUCAUCUUAUACUUGGGAGUCAGACUGUGGGUGAUAAGAUUCAUAGUCGAAAGGGCAACAGCCCAGAUCGUCAGCUAAGGUCCCUAAAUGUAAGUUAAGUGGUAAAGGAUGUGGGAUUGCACAGACAACCAGGAUGUUGGCUUAGAAGCAGCCACUCAUUCAAAGAGUGCGUAAUAGCUCACUGGUCGAGUGAUCCUGCGCCGAAGAUUUCCGGGGCUAAAACUUACUACCGAAGCUACGGCAUCAGUAAUGAUGGGUAGGGGAGCUUCCCAUACGGGUUGAAGCAUGACCGUAAGGACAUGUGGACAGUAUGGGAGUGAGAAUGUUGGCAUGAGUAGCGAGAUGUGGGUGAGAAUCCCACAGGCCGUAAACCCAAGGUUUCCAGGGGAAGGUUCGUCCGCCCUGGGUUAGUCGGGACCUAAGCUGAGGCCGAAAGGCGUAGGUGAUGGACAACAGGUUGAUAUUCCUGUACUACCGAUAACCGUUUGAGAGAUGGGAUGACACAGUAGGAUAAGCUAAGCACACUGUUGGUUAUGUGUGCCCAAGCAUUGAGGCAGUCAAAGUAGGCAAAUCCGCUUUGAUAAUGCUGGGAUGUGAUGGGGAGCGAAAUUUAGUAGCGAAGUAGCUGAUUUCACACUGUCAAGAAAAGUCUCUAUCGAGGUUAAAGGUACCCGUACCGCAAACCGACACAGGUGGGUGAGGAGAGUAUCCUAAGGCUAGCGAGAGAACUGUUGUUAAGGAACUCGGCAAAAUGACCCCGUAACUGAGGGAUAAGGGGUGCCACCAUCAGGUGGCCGCAGAGAAUAGGCCCAAGCGACUGUUUACCAAAAACAUAGGUUUCUGCUAAGUCGCAAGACGAUGUAUAGGAGCUGACGCCUGCCCGGUGCUGGAAGGUUAAGGGGAUCUGUUAGAGCAAUCGAAGCAGUGAACUUAAGCCCCAGUAAACGGCGGCCGUAACUAUAACGGUCCUAAGGUAGCGAAAUUCCUUGUCGGGUAAGUUCCGACCCGC